rnacentral:rRNA from 1 species
UGGGGAAUACUGCACAAUGGGGGAAACCCUGAUGCAGCGACGCCGCGUGAAGGAAGAAGUAUCUCGGUAUGUAAACUUCUAUCAGCAGGGAAGAAAAUGACGGUACCUGACUAAGAAGCCCCGGCUAACUACGUGCCAGCAGCCGCGGUAAUACGUAGGGGGCAAGCGUUAUCCGGAUUUACUGGGUGUAAAGGGAGCGUAGACGGAGCAGCAAGUCUGAUGUGAAAGGCAGGGGCUCAACCCCUGGACUGCAUUUGAAACUGUGGUUCUUGAGUACUGGAGAGGCAGACGGAAUUCCUAGUGUAGCGGUGAAAUGCGUAGAUAUUAGGAGGAACACCAGUGGCGAAGGCGGCUUACUGGACUGUAACUGACGUUGAGGCUCGAAAGCGUGGGGAGCAAACAGGAUUAGAUACCC